CAGUAGCCGCGGGAAUACAGAGGGUGCAAGCGUUAAUCGGAAUUACUGGGCGUAAAGCGCGCGUAGGUGGUUCGCCAAGUUGGAUGUGAAAUCCCCGGGCUCAACCUGGGAACUGCAUCCAAAACUGGCGAGCUAGAGUAUGGUAGAGGGUGGUGGAAUUUCCUGUGUAGCGGUGAAAUGCGUAGAUAUAGGAAGGAACAUCAGUGGCGAAGGCGACCACCUGGACUGAUACUGACACUGAGGUGCGAAAGCGUGGGGAGCAAACAGGAUUAGAUACCCGAGUAGUCCCUGUCUCUUAUAC
rnacentral:rRNA from 1 species